UAGGGAAUCUUCCGCAAUGGGCGAAAGCCUGACGGAGCAACGCCGCGUGAGUGAAGAAGGAUUUCGGUUCGUAAAGCUCUGUUGUUAGGGAAGAAUGAUUGUAUAGUAACUAUAUACAGUAGAGACGGUACCUAACCAGAAAGCCACGGCUAACUACGUGCCAGCAGCCGCGGUAAUACGUAGGUGGCAAGCGUUGUCCGGAAUUAUUGGGCGUAAAGCGCGCGCAGGUGGUUUAAUAAGUCUGAUGUGAAAGCCCACGGCUCAACCGUGGAGGGUCAUUGGAAACUGUUAAACUUGAGUGCAGGAGAGAAAAGUGGAAUUCCUAGUGUAGCGGUGAAAUGCGUAGAGAUUAGGAGGAACACCAGUGGCGAAGGCGGCUUUUUGGCCUGUAACUGACACUGAGGCGCGAAAGCGUGGGGAGCAAACAGGAUUAGAUACCCUGGUAGUCCACGCCGUAAACGAUGAGUGCUAAGUGUUGGUCUCAUAAGAGAUCAGUGCUGCAGCUAACGCAUUAAGCACUCCGCCUGGGGAGUACNGGCCGCAAGGUUG
rnacentral:rRNA from 1 species